rnacentral:rRNA from 1 species
AGAGUUUGAUCCUGGCUCAGGACGAACGCUGGCGGCGUGCUUAACACAUGMAARUCGAACGCUGAAGCUUGGUGCUUGCACUGGGUGGAUGAGUGGCGAACGGGUGAGUAAUACGUGAGUAACCUGCCCUUGACUYUGGGAUAAGCCUGGGAAACUGGGUCUAAUACUGGAUACGACAUGUCACCGCAUGGUGGUGUGUGGAAAGGGUUUUAMUGGUUUUGGAUGGGCUCACGGCSUAUCAGCUUGUUGGKGGGGUAAUGGCUCACCAAGGSGAYGACGGGUAGCCGGCCKRAGAGGGUGACCGGCCACACUGGGAYUGAGACACGGCCCAGACUCCUACGGGAGG